rnacentral:rRNA from 1 species
CUACGGGAGGCAGCAGUGAGGAAUAUUGGUCAAUGGGCGGGAGCCUGAACCAGCCAAGCCGCGUGAGGGAAGAAGGUACAGCGUAUCGUAAACCUCUUUUGUCAGGGAACAAAGGCGGGGACUAGUCCCCGGAUGAGGGUACCUGAAGAAAAAGCAUCGGCUAACUCCGUGCCAGCAGCCGCGGUAAUACGGAGGAUGCGAGCGUUAUCCGGAUUUAUUGGGUUUAAAGGGUGCGCAGGCGGCCUGUUAAGUCAGCGGUAAAAGCCCGGGGUUCAACCCCGGCGAGCCGUUGAAACUGGCGGGCG